rnacentral:rRNA from 1 species
CCCUGCCCUUUGUACACACCGCCCGUCGCUCCUACCGUUGGACUUGAAGGUGAGCUCGGUAGAGCCAAGCCUCUGGCUAACGGCGAAACCGAACAAAUCUUCGUGUCUGUAGGAAGGAGAAGUCGUAACAAGGUUUUCGUAGGUGAACCU